rnacentral:rRNA from 1 species
UGAGGAAUAUUGGUCAAUGGGGGCAACCCUGAACCAGCCAAGUCGCGUGAAGGAUGAAGGUCUUAUGGAUUGUAAACUUCUUUUAUACAGGAAUAAAUUGGGGGACGUGUCCCCUUUUGCAUGUACUGUAUGAAUAAGGAUCGGCUAACUCCGUGCCAGCAGCCGCGGUAAUACGGAGGAUCCGAGCGUUAUCCGGAUUUAUUGGGUUUAAAGGGUGCGCAGGCGGGAUGUUAAGUCGGCGGUGAAAUUUUGCAGCUCAACUGUAAAAGUGCCUUCGNUACUGGCCUCCUUGAGUGUGGAUGAAGUAGGCGGAAUUUGUGGUGUAGCGGUGAAAUGCUUAGAUAUCACGAGGAACUCCGAUUGCGCAGGCAGCUUACUAAGCCACAACUGACGCUCAUGCACGAAGGCGUGGGGAUCAAACA